UACUUCCCUGGGGAGCCUGUUCCAGUGUGCGACAACCGUCUCAGUGAAGAACCUCUUUCUGAUGUCUAGCCUAAGCCUCCCCUGCCUCAGGUUGACGCCAUUCCCUUGGGUCCUAUCACUGGGGACUGAAGAGAAUAGAUCGGUACCUGCCCGUCCACUCCCCCUCGCAAGGAAGCUGUAGACUGCGACGAGGUCUCCCCUCAGCCACCUUGUUUCCAGGCUGAACAGGCCCAGUGACCUCAGCCGCUCGUCAUACGUCUUCCCCUCUAGGCCGUUUGCCAUCUCUGUAGCCCAGUAUCUUACUGACUUGAAGAAAGAGGCUUUAAUCUAUCCUGGUUUGUUUACUAACGAAGGAGCACAAAAGAGACGCCUGUCCUUGCCUCUGAAGAGGAGGUGAAGGAAGAGCCAGUGUAAGGAACACAAAAAUCAUUUGCGCCAGGCUAACACGUGGUUGUAUCUGAGCUUGGAGACUGCAACCCUUUUCAGACUUCCAGAGCUAGAGGAACACUUUGGCUGCAGCCUAAAAGCCACGUGUACAUAAGCUCCCUCAAGCCAGCCAAUCUUCUUGCCAUGACCUGCCAGGAAACAGCAAUGUGGGCAUGUAACCAAAUCAAAGCCCAGACCUUCAGCCCAGUCCUUGGCCUGAACAGUGAGUGAGGAUCUGGAUCCUGGCAUUUAUACAGUGAUAGCUUAUAGGCAGCGGAAGUAAAUAGUGUAGUCAGAGGUCACGGGGCUAGAUUUUGAAAAGUCCUGCAUAAGGAAGACAUCUCAGAAAAGCAGAUUUAAAUAACAUUAAUGCUAAGAAAAGUGAUUCUGAUUGCUAUAUUCUUUAUGUGUCGUGACUAGACAGAUGAAAAUCUAUGAUAGCAAUUUUGCCUUUAAGGUCAUUUUCUUUGAUUUCUCUGUCUGUCUGUCUAUUUAUUUAUUUAUUUUAACAGGUUCUGUAGUAAUUUUCCUGACAGAAUGGCUAACAGAAAUACGACCCUUGUGCAGCUUUUGUAGUUAAUUCAUUAGGUCAACUCUAACCACUAAGCCCCUUGUCAGGUUAUUUCUAUUAGUGAUAAGGAGCAAUUGAUCUUAAAAGACUGAAGCCAGGUAGAGGAGCCUAUUCCACAAGGUCUCUUGGCUCCACCCUUGUGAAGUGAAAUCUGCCAGGUGUGGGUCAUUUGACCUUUGCUAUAUAGGAAGCUUGAGGAGCUGUGGGUCAUUGCCUUCCCAGGGGGAGUUUGAGGCUGAGGUUGUCUAGGGUGCUUUUCUGCUGUGGUGGUGAAGUGGGCUCAGUGUUCCCCAGUGGGCUGCUUUUUCUUCGUGUUUUCUGCCAUCUUUGUGAAAUGGUUUUAGUGACUCUAUGAGCUAGCUAUGUUGGCGGUGCCUUCUCAGUGCAGUAGAACCCUGGUGGUGCAACUUCCCUGUGAAGCAGUGUGGAAGUGACUCAGGUUCAGAAGCUGGUAGGCCUGCAUGUCUUGGCUGCGGAGAAAGUUUUGGAAGAGGUCCACCAACUGAGAGAAUUGAUCUUCCUCCCCACCUGUAGAAACCAGUGCCUGAGGUAUCGAAAAAGUGUCCUUCUGUGAAAGGAAGAUGACAGAGCGGGAACAGGGCCUGUGCCACCCUGCGGUUUUGCCAAGGUGACGGUGCAGAGGAUGGGAGAUAAAAGGACAGAAAACUGAGGCAGACACUUAAAGGCAUUGUUACAUGAGUUGUGAAUAAAAACAAAGGGGCGGGAAAAGGGGUUGCGUGAGAAAUGUGCUGCUCCAAAUGACACAGGGCAGUCAUUAGGGUGGGCUGGGGACCUGAUCUGUUCAUCCCCUUUUUGUAAGAAGGAUUUAAUAGGACAGGGAGAAAGUUUAUUUUGGUCUUAAUACCCUGACCCCUGUGCACAAACCCAUGAGAGACAAACCCAAGCAAUCACUGCAUUCAGGCCUAUUUUCUCCAUAUACAUUUGACAUCAAUAGGAAGGCAAUUGUGCUGCUUUGUAUACUGAAGGUUAUAACUCACUGUAAAGGAAGGACCUCUCUUGUUCUUUUCUAUUCUCUAUACUGCACUCACUAUAUUAAUAUUUUAAUCUCUUCCAAAAAAAUGAGGUAAGUGUGAUGGCUAUUAUCAUUUAACCCCUGCCUUAACAAUAUUGGGGAAAUAUUGUUAAUGAGUUCUUAUGUUUUAGCCUGUCUUGCAUACAAAAUACAAGGUGGUGACUUUGUGUGACCCUUUCUGCAACAAAUGUUUUUGUAUUUUCUACUUUGACCUAUGCUUACAGAAUUUUGUUUAUCUAUGUAUAUGUUAUCCUGGUAGAGUAUAGCAAAAACACAACUCUGUUACACCAUAACCUCAUAUCCUUUGUCCCCUAGCUUUCAGGUUGACAUGAUGUCACAGAAUACUGAGAUCUUAGAUUUAACUUUGAAUCUAUGAAAAAGCAAUAUGGGGAAGUGGAGAAUGAGUUUUCUGUGCCUGGAACUGAUUCUGAUUCCCCAAAGAUGAGUAACUGGUUAGAGCUUCUGGAGAACUGCAGUGCUUUGCUGUAAGCUAGGUAAAAUGGAAUGUUAUAAUCUACUGCAAUUCAAGAAAGACAACUGCCUGACAGCAAGCAUUUGUCCCAGAUGCAAAGAUGCAAGAGCAUCAGUGAGAAUCCACAAACAGUCUUCAGUUAUAGACUGAGUUGGUCACUUCAGAGUUGUGUUUUCAUUCAGAGUAGACUUACUGCCUCCAUGAGCUCUUCAAGUAGCAUCACCUACUUGUUUGCAUCAGCUUCAGCCAGCGUUUAUUUGUGAGUUGCUGCUGUCAAAAGAAUAAGCUAUCUUGAUGCUACUGAGUAUGGUCAGAUGCAGUGAAGUGUAGCUCACACUUGUCUUAAUAUUGCCUAAAUGGUUCUCCUAAAGGCUGCAUCUGGAAACUGAAAAGGCAGGUGGGAGACAGAGCUUUCACAUGACUCAAUGUAAAUCAAGGAUUUGGUAGCAAUAGGACUGCUUCCAACCACUCUUGAGUUUGCACCCUCUGGGGCGACUGAAACCUAAACACUCAAAGUACAAAUAUAGCGGUGAUAAAUUUAGCAUAUACUCUGGGUAGAGAAUAUAGCAGUGAAAAACAUCUCUUAGAGCUCUAAUAUAUGCACUUUUGAAAUACAGUGCACUAAAUCCCUCUUCAUUCCCAGAAGUAUCACAGUAGUCUUCCAGCCAGUACUGUCCUCUCCUUGUAUACCUCCUAAUUUACUGAGAACAACAGGCAGAUAAGAGAAAAUUUCAUUUUGCUAUUCUGUCAGUCACUAAUGUGUCUGCUGGCUUAAUUAUCAGUUCAUUGCACAAAGACAGCCAAACGAGUAAACUUGAGCUGUUAAUCUUUGUCUUCCUGGGACAGAUUCAAAUUAAUAUUCUGGUUUUCAAUUCUUCCCACGUUCAUUUGUAGUGGGUCUGGAUCUAGCAUUCUCCCUCUUCUGCAUGGAAUUUUUGUUCUUUCUAGCAGCUGCUAGAUAUUGAACAGCUAAUUAUAUUUAUGCAGUGUUUUAUUCUUACCAAAUGAUCUGGACAGAAUUUAAUAUUAAUUACCUGUUGUUCUAAGCUUUGCAUUUAACAUUUCCAGAUCUUUGACCUGCUCAAUACCACCCAUAAUUUAGGGCAUAACCUCUGAUACUUUUUUAACUUCCUUAUUCUAACUUUUUAGACAUUUUACAUUUAUCACUUCUAAGACAUAUACAUACCAUUUUUUUUCCCAUUUAUUUCCCAUCCAAAGGAGUGUAUUUUAUGCCUUCCUGUUCCUGACCGGCUGUUCCCUGCAGUCCUGACACAUCAAAUUGCACACCUCAAAGCUUUCUCAGUUUUCAAGUUCAUUUAUAUGACAAAGAUGAGGACCUAAUGCUAAGCUCUGUGCUGCUGCAUUUGUCAUCUUCCUUUAACAUUUACGAUCAUUCUCUGACUUUGUAAGCAAGCAAUUUUGUUAGCCAGAUGAGUAUUACUUCCUUACCUUCUUACCCUAUUCAUUAAUAAUGUAUUUGGUACUGUAUUAAAAGCUUCCUUGGAAUCCAAGUGAAUAAUGUAUACUUGUUUAUUCUUGCCUGGUUUUGUUGUCAUUUCCUCAAAGAAACUAAGCAAAUUUGUUAUGCAUUAUUUUCAUUUUGGUGAUCUUCACACUGAAAUAUUAAAAAUUCUAUUUACAUGGAGGGUCUGGGCAGUUUAACAAAGCAGAAACAUUUUUCUUGUAUUUUUAGAUACCUUUCAUAAUCCCAUAAGCAUCAUUUAAUAUUUUACUGAGACAUUAAAUAAAGCAAUGUAUUUGGUACAGUACCCAAUGCAAAAAAUACAAUUUCACAAAAUAGAAAAGGAACUACAGCCUAAUAGAGAACAAAGCAGAUUCCAUCAAGAAAUACUUUGAAAUGUCAUGAAACAUAUAUUUUAUACACAAAAAUCUGCCAAUCAAGUUUUUACAUCAGUUACAGUUUCGUAAAGUACCCUGGGGUGCGACUCUGUAGCAAUGUGAAGACAACAAACGAAAUACGAGUCUGCAAAAAUGUCACAAACACAUAAAAUCCAAAAAGCACCCAUUAAAUUUGAUGGGGGAAGAAUUACUGCUCCAAAUUAUUAGGCUGUUAUAUAUUUAGAACUGGAAUUCCUUUAAAACUCGUUGCCAUUGAAAGCCCUAUGAAUUCAACAGGGAUUCACAGUGAAAAGAAGCCUGACUGGAGAUGUUUGCUGCACGCUGCUCUUUGCAUCUCACUGGAAGUUCUGCGGGCAUGUUAAGGGCAAUAUAGAUUUCAGAGCAACACUUUUUUUUUCUUAGGUACUUCAUACUUUUUUCUUCCUCUUCUUUUAUUGAUACAGAGUUUAACAAGAAACAGAAAAAUAGGAGUUCUCUUCUUUUUGACUGCUUGAAAUCAGAACGAGGCCUAUUUCCAGCCAGAGCGUUACUGCUCUGUAUGCAAAGCAUGGUCCCAUAAACUUGAUCACUAUGGCCAACUUCACAAAUCAGUAGUCAGGCUCUAGCUUAGAGGACAGGUUCUCUAGCCCUUUGUGUGACUUAAUGCUUUUAUUAUGCUGGCUGACGUCCUACCAUUGCUGCUUGAGGUUUUCUGGACCCUGAAUGACAAUCACAAGUGGUCUCUUGGACCAUUCAAGCCCAAAGCUUCCUGAACCACACUAGAUGUAUCUGUAACUGGGGAGCCAAAUACUGACAGAGUUGAUGUCUCAUACAUAGUAUUGAACCAGUGGGUAACUUUCGUGUCAUACUUUAUCUCCUUUCAAAGACAAGACCUAGUUUGUAUUGUAUGUUCUAGGGACUUUGCCAGUCUCUGGGACUUAAGCCAUUCUUCACAAGAAACCUCUGUCCCUCUAACCAUUAAUUUGAUGUUAUUACCAACACACAUACUGUCAUCCCAUAACUGACUCCCAUUUCCAAAUCAUUUAUGCUGAAGAACAUGUCUGAAAACACUGAAUCUUCGCUUGCAACGUCCUCCACUAUGAAAGCUCACCAUUUACUUUGAUGCUUUCUUUUUUAUCUUUUAACCAACUAUUUAUCCAUGCAAGUAGCUUUCAUUUGAUGCCUUCACUGUUUAUGCUCAGAAUCCCCUAUCCUAAUGCUGUCUUUGGAAAGCUUUUUAAAGCCUGCCCUCCACAUCCAUGGAGUCCCACCAUGCCUGUCAGCAUUUUAUUUAAACAAAUCAUAAUCAUGGCCUAGCCAAAGCUCAGGUUCAAAUGCUCCAAAAAGAAUAAUAAAGCAGAUAUUGUUGUGGAAUUUACUUGUGACAGGUCUUUUCUGUUUUCUAGACAUCUUCUUCCACAUUGAAUCAAGAAGCACACCCUUUUCAACUACCUUUUCUGAACUUUGUCAAAGGCCAACAUGAAGCUUAGGCUGAAGCCUCAUAGUGUGCUUAAGGCCCAUCAAGUAGUGUUCUCUGUGGGAAACCCCUGGACACCUGCCCUGUCCUUUCUUGGAUUCCCUUUUCUACCAUCAGUCUCAUCACGCCCUGUAAGCGUUCUGGCUUAUCACACCUUAACCCCAGCCCUCAGGACUAGCCCAAGCCUGAGGCUGGAUGCAAAUUACAUUUAAGUCCUGUUAUGGGCAGAAGGGAUCGUGCCUUAUAGAAGGAGGUAAGAAUGCACUGUUAGUCCCUUUAAUGUUUUAACAACCUAAUGGUAGAAAUCAUCCCAUUAAUGCAGAAAGAAUACAUUAACAAUACAGUUAAAAUCAUUGUAUAUAAACUUGUUUGUAUCUACUCAAUUUCUCUGGUGCUGUGCUCACCUUCUGUAUGUACCACUGGGUCCUAAGGUCAACAAAUUCCAUCUUCCCCCACCUUCCUGGACAAAUUGCAGCAGAAGUGGGGGUGUUACGAGUCCCUGGCCUCCCACAUCUUUGCUCGUAGGAGUUUGAUGUUCGUGGGGGAGAGGAGGUCAUUCCCCUCUGUUUUGGGGUCUGCUUGUGUUUUCUUACUACAGUCUGCAUCCUUCUCAUUGAAAUCUGCCCCACAAAUUCUCACAACCUCUUUUAAAGUAAAAUAAAUAAAAAGCUAUUGUGAGAGUAUGGGUAUCAGGCUUUUACAGUGUAAAGUAUCCACAGAGCCAAACUCAACCCAAUUAGGCAUGUGAUCACUAAAAGACAAUUGUAAUAUCCUGAAAAAAAUCCCAAAUCAGCUCAAGUCAAGACAGGCCCAGGUAACUCCUGUUAACUCCUGCACUGCCAGGUCACUACACAGUUUCUGGCCUUUUACUAGUAUUGGCAAAAUCAUAUUUACUGAGCUACAUCCGAAUGCACUGAAAAGCUUUCAUCAGAGUUGUAAGGUGGUGCUUUCCUAAGCAGGAUGCUAACUCUUCCCAGAUAAAUCAGAUCUGUCCAGGUGUCCCCUAAUUCUGUUCCUUAUCAUUGUUUCUAGUUAUUUGCCAUGUCAGACUUACAUUGCUACCAUUCCCCAGAUUUUCUCUGGAACCUUUUUAAGGAAUUGAUGUCACAUCUGCUGCCUUCCAGAAGCAAGGCAAUUUAAAGCAAUAGGUUACACCCUGCUGUGAGUAAUUCAGCUCUUUCGUCCUUGAGUUCCUUUAGAAAUUUGGAGUGAAUACUAGACAAUCCUGAUGAUUUUCACUUUAUCUAUUUACUCCAUAAUCUCUUCUACAAUAAUUUCAAUUUCAGACUGAUCUUCUGAUGGGUCCCCUGCCAAGAAGGGUUCUGGUUUCAGAAUCUUCCCAGUUCCUUCCACAGUGAACACCAAUGCAGAGUUCACAUAGUGUUUCUGCAACGACCCUGUCUUCUCUGAGUACUCUUUUAUGCCCUGAAAACCAACUGGUCUGACAGAUUCUAGCAAAAUUCCUGCCCCUGAUGUAUUUUGUAGAGGAAAGGAUUAGUAAUUUUUAUUCCUUUGUUACUUAUUCUUCUGGUGCUUUUUGGUCUGCCUUGGUACGCUUUCACAUUUAACCUGCCAGAGUUUGUAACUAUUUCUUCUUGUGUCAUUUGAACAUGACUUCAGCAUUUUCAAAGAUGUAUUUUUGCUUCUAACAACCUCUGUUACCCUGCCGAUUAGUUACACGAGCUUUCUUUUACCCUUUCUGAAGUCCUUCUCUAGAGAAAGCACGUUUUUCUAGUACAAAUCCUUAAGCAGAUUCCUUGGUGCCUGUACAGAGUUGAGACUGACUUUUAACAAAUGUCCUCUGUCUUACUUUGUUACUCUUUUUUUUAAUUAAAAUAAAACCGUAGGGAAGAAGUGCCCAGGAGUAAGCUCCUAGCUGUUCCUUGACCAUGCUCUAGUCUAGGAGAUUGCUGGCAGGGAUCCCUUCCUCACAGCUGUGUCUGUAGAGAACCAAAAAAUGAAAACGUGGGGAGGUAGGUGCAUGUGCUGCCGGGCUUCCCAGGCUUUUAUCUGCCUUUGCUUUGUCCCCUUACUGCUGUGGAUAAUCCACCCAGCCGCCUCGUAUUUCUCUCUCUCAAAACACUGUAAGUUUUUUUGAAUGGUUGACCCUGUUUGCAUUUUUUUUGGCACCUUUACUGCCAUUUUGGGACUGUGGUAGUGGGGAGUAACUAGACUUUGUCUGCUGCCAUGCCUGAAAUGACAAUGGUAAUCGGGGUGAUGCUUUGCUCAGUAAGGCUGUAGCAGAUAGGAGCCCGUGCCUUUGGCUUCCCUGCUAAGGCACCAGGGAGAGCUCCUCAUGGUGCCUGCUCAGUGACCCAGCUCCUUCACAAGCCUUUCACAUACAGGGGCAGUUGUGACAAUUACAAUGAACACUAAUGAGAUUGUGCAGAAGGAAGGUGUAGGGCUCUCCUCAUAUCAGUGGAGGGACUGUACACACUGCAGGUAACUCAGCCUCCAGUCAGGCUGGCAGAGGGUCUCCUGCUAGGGGUGACGGCCUGCUGCUCCCAAGUGUACCAUGCCUUAUGGUGCGAGAGAACUGCCAUCCGGUCUGGGGAAUCUCUAUCAUUGCUAAGAAUUCUGAUACUUUUAAAAAUUAUGAGGUGUAAAAAUAACAAUAGAUGGGGAUUCGUCUCAUUUUCUUUCUAGGCUAGAUCUUUAGACUUCUUUUCUAAGGAUCCUUACUACUCAGGUUUCUCUGCAACCCAGCUCAGAAGCCUUUUGAAGAAUUGCUGAGGAAAACCUGAAAAGAUGUCAGCUGAAAGACGAAAUUCAGAAGCAAGAACUUUUUUCCAUGCUAUGGCACUUUCCAAAUGAGGGCAACCGGUAAGAAAAUUGAAAGUUUGGUUUCCGCUUACCAUAUUAAUUAAAAAAAAAAAAAAGUCAAAUGUGAGAAUAAACAUGUAGGAUUAAGCCAUUCUGACAUAUUCUAAAUUUGGGAUGAAAGAGAUAAGCUUGUCACAGUGUGCUCCCACAGAACUUCAGGAGAUAAGAUUCUUGAGACUUUGAUCAGUUUUGGCUGAUCCUGAGCUGUCAUUCAGUGGUUUAUAUCCCUGGAAUAUAUAUAUAUAUAUAUAUAUAUAUAUAUAGUCAUGGUUACAGUAUGUUCCUCCUCUAAUAUGCAUGGAUCUCUGCUCUUCAGAAAAUAAAAUAGUUGAACUUCUUUUAUAAGAUACCAAAUCAAGAUUAAGUUAUUGAAUAGUUUAAAUACUGUUUAUUAUUAUUACUUAUUUGCUCUCUAGCAGUGAGGCAACACUAUUAUGGUGGAUUUCUCCUUUAUCACUUACUAUAUCCCAUUUCCAGCACAUCUGUUUUGAGCUAUAGCACAUCUUACUUAUUUUUGUUCUCUGCAUUAGUGUUUGCCAGCAGGUGGUCAUGAGUACAACAGAAUUUCUUUGCAAGCAGUCGGUACUACUGACAGGGUUUCUUUGGUCCUCUUGCUGUUGAAUUAUCAGGAGAAUAGAGAGGAAAAACAUUUUUAGAAAGCUGUGUUGGAUGCCAAGUAGAAACAGAAGACUACUUCCAUGAAGAAACCUUUCUUUACUAGGUACCUGAUGCACUACAACUAGCUAAAUAUAAAUAGCUUUAUUAAUAUUCCUUACAGCUUCAGGCUUUGAGAAUAAAAGCAUUAGCUCUUACGACCGUAGUAGUUCUCAUAUAAUCUGCAGCUCAUUUCUGCAGCCAUCAUCUUUCAUUUGUCAGCUCAGAAAAAUUGACAAACUCAAUGUAAUGUCUGUUAUUGACUGCAAAAGCUGCUAUUUUCCUGGUAAUUAUCUUAGUUCACGCCACAAGUCUGAAUUUAAAUGCAUAAUUCAAAUUCUUUUGAAGUUAUGAGAUUUUAGCCAUUCCAUUCCUCUGUAUUAUGUUUGGCAAAUUUAGGUCCUAUUUAACAUUUCUAAUUAUUAUUUUUUUUUUAUAUUCAAGGAAAUUACACUUGUCAAGCUAUUCCAUAAAUACAUAAUUUUGCAGUAAGAAUUUAUUCACGGAAACAUAUUGUCAUCUUCACAUAGGCAGAAAUUAUGAGUCAGCUCCUUUCCCCAAUAAAUUAUUUCUUCAUUUGCCUUGUGAUUUAAGGGACUUUCAGACUCACUUGGUUUACUUUUUAAAAGUAGUUAAAAUUCACUUUUUAACUACAAAGUCUAGAAAGAAUGUUUUUUCUGUAAAUGACAGCUCACAUUUUCACACUACUAUUUACUGGCUCAGCCUCUAAGUAAAACGUCAAAUAUCACAAGGUUGGAAAUAAAUAAUCAGAAAUGGUAAUUAUGAAAGCACCAUAGAAAGAAGAACUUUGAUAACUAAUAGUAUAAUUAGCAACUGAGAAAGCAAUGGAAAUUAAUGUUGACAAAUUGUCCUUUAAAGUAUACCUGGAGUUGCAUUUGUUUGCAAAACUGAAAGUAAAUCUGUUUUCUUGUGGAAAAAAAAAAUCUAAAUUUGAAACCAGAACAAUAUCAUUAAUUCAAAUGACAGCUAUUAUUAUUAUUAUUAUUAUUAUUAUUAUUAUUAUUAUUAUUAUUAUUAUUAUUGUAAAAUCCAGAAAUGUAGCUUUCUAAAUAAAGUAAACAACAGCCAGUCCAUGAGAUCCAUUUGGAUAAGAACUGAAUUUUAAAUGAAUCUUGAAUUUGAAAUGUAGGCUUGCAAAAUGUAGAAGUAUUCUAUUCUAGCAUUCCUGCAAAAAGGUGAGGUAGGUAAUCUGAUGAAAAAUUAUGGAAUGGUCAUCUUAGACUAUGAAAAAGUACAAGACUUUGUAAGAAAAUGCUGACAUAUAGUGUGUAUAUAUAUGUUAAUGUAUAAUACGUAAUAUGAAUAAUAUGUAAUUGUCAAUUGUAAGUUAGUGAUAGCUAAGAUUAAUUUUUUAUAUUUUAUAAAAAGCUUUGAAAAGAGACUCAAUAAAAUUUUGCUUUGCCUCUGUAAUUGGCAUGUGAUUGUAAUCGGAAUGUGAUUGUAAUUGGAAGUGCUUGGAUAUCAAUGAAUGUUAUCUUCCUGACUAAUGAAAAAUUAAGCAAUGUAAAGGGGAGUAACCUGAAAUGAGGUCAGAGUUCCUGACGAUUUUUUUGCAGCUGAUUUCUGCAGAUGAAUCACUCAGGAAUUUGUCUUGGAAAGGUAGGAAAUGCCACAGACUAUACAACUGUAAGGCUCCGUCAUCCUACUGCCUGCCCAAUGAAGUGAACCUAACCACUGUAUGGGAUAUACUAAUGAAAUAAAACAUCUGUGGGUGUAGUUUCUUCCCAAGCUCUAGGCAAUUUAUGUGUGUUUUAUAUUUUGAAUCAUGAGAGUUUAUAUCCCUCAUACAUUUUAAUGCUAUCUGAAGUAACUCUUACUAUUAUUUUUAUUCAUAUAGAAACCAAAGUCUUUUAAAAGUGCUAUUUAGCUCUCGUCUCUAAGAUGUCUUUCAGACACAAGUUUAUAGGUUAAUUAUGUAUCAGAUUUUUAAAAAAAUCAUUAUUGUCUAUUUUUUCUAUGUGUCUUGUAUUACAAAAAAAGAGUAAAUAAUGAAAAAUAUUUUACUUAGUCAUAAACAUUAUGUAUUACAUCUUCUUUGGUAGUAUUUCAUUGUAUCUUCAUUCUCCUUGAACAUGGAAGCAUCUAAUUGUCUUUGUUUCCUUCCAUCGUAUCUUUUCCCAUUCUCUUGUAUCCUUUCAAAUUCUGGUAACAAGAAUACUGAAUACAGUAUUUAUGAAAUGCUGAUGGCAAUAUCUCACCUUGCAGUGUUUUGGAAUAGCACAACAAACACAGAUACACAGUUUAUUUUUAUUCCUAGUAAUGUUAUUCAGAGAAUAUGAAUUUAACCUUAUGUCUUGGCCAACAAAUCUAAUUCUUGAGAUUCUUCCCAGGACUGGGUUAAUGUGUGAUUGUCCACUAGAGAGCAGGCUGAGACCAACAAACCCAUUUUGUUCUUGUCAUAAACUGACUUUGAACCCAGGUGUCUUAAUGUAAAUCGUUAGUACUUGAAAGCACUGCACCUUCUAGCUUCAGCUGUGAGUGUAUAUACUGCUAUCAUACUUGAUGGAUAUAGCUUGUGAAGCUUAGUGACCUAAGGUGGUGAUAAUAAAGUAUUCAGGAACCUGGAUAACAUUUUAUUCUGUCAGUAUGGUUUUCUUGCUCUGGUGACAUCAACUAAUUUGUACUGCUUUACAAGGAAUUUCUGUAUCCAGCUUUUUAGCCAGAGUCUCAGUUUCCUUACACCACUUUUACUUUUUUCUGUCAGACUGAAUUUCUUUCAGAAAGAAAAUAUUGCUCAAUAUUGAUUCCAUUGUGCUAGCUAAUUUCAGGUUCUUGUACUUCAUCUGAAGCAUCAUUCAAAACCUAAAAGAAUUUUCUAAUGCAAAAUCCAAAUAAAAUAACUCACGUAAUAUCGCCCAAAAAGAAAAACCUCCAUUUUCUAAUCCUUUAAAAAAACUAAGGUUAAAUUAAAAGGCUCUUUGCAUUUUAACCAUAAAAAGUUACACUAACAAGGGUAAAGAGUUUUCAAAAAAAACAUAGAAUUCUUAUAUUUUUUCACCUAUAUUUUAUUUUGCUUGUGUAAGACAUUCAUCUUCUGUGGAAAAAUGCUGACCCCUGAGGACAGAUACACCAGUGGAGAGAUUUAGAGUUCUCCUUGCUAUUCUCCCUACAGAACCUAUUAUAGGGGUAUAUAGGAUUUUUUGUAGAAGUAAUAGGGAGCCUCUUAGUUUGCUUCCCUGUAAUUGAAGAAUAUCACAUUUCAAUUCCCUUUGCUUCCUCAGUUUUGAAAAAAUAAAGUGCAAGUGUUAUUUUAAUUUCUUUAUCUCCCUACGCUGCUGUGAAGGCUGGCCUUGAAAGACAAUUUUUAUUCAGUACUUUGAACCCUAUCAAUAUUCUCUUGUAUUCUGAAAAAUAAAAAAUUGAAAAUAUGUA